GAUCAUUUAACCCUAGAACGAUUCUUAAUCAUUGAUCAACCAUCCGAUCGGAUCAUGAACUCUAAUGUGUGUGACCUCAUAGGUCCGAACCUAAGUCCGUAGUAUAGGAAUAAAUUUUUGUAUCAAUUGAAGUGACCAUCUAGCAAUGGUAUCCGACGACCGGAUAGGUCGAAUGUGUAGAACAACAUCCUUAGAACCCAUGCAGAUAUAGUUUCCAUAUAAUUCAUCCUCUUGACCAAAAUGAUCAUAGGACACCUCAGAGUUCAACUGUUAACUCUGAUCAGGUUAUCCACAUUGUAUUUCAAAAUAUCAAAUCCAUCUGAUGGAUUACCCUGGCCAAGAUUUUGCUAAAUUGAAAUACAGUGACUCAUUCUUCUCCAACUCUUGGAGUGGUCAAUCCCAUCUCGAUCAUACUCUAAUUUCACAAGUACUUGACUAUGCCCAGAAGCCUUCCAUCACUGAAUUAGAAAUUCAGUUAGUCUAGUACCAAAGCACAGUGAGUUGCUUGCAAGUCACUGAGGCGAUG
rnacentral:lncRNA from 1 species